UCAUUUGUCUUUUUCUUUCUUUGUUAAUGCAAUGCAGUUCACUCUUCUUCGUCUCCUCCGAGAAUUUGUCACCAAAUUCUCAGCCACUUCGCAUAAUCAAAACUAGAGAAGGUGGGGGAAAUGAUGCAAGUGAGAAAGGAAGGAGUAUCCCCUCUUCCACAUGGCUGGCCCUUCACUACAGUGGCCUAUCAGCUCGUUGUCGUUUUCCAUCCUAUGAAGAGGCCACCUGUG